rnacentral:lncRNA from 1 species
AGAUGAAGCUCUGGAGUCUUGUGAAAGAGUUGAGGGAAAUGAUUAAGGGACUCAAAGAAGAAAGGAACCCCACAGGGAGACAAUAAAUUGAACUAACCUGGACCCUUGGGGGCUUUCAGAGAUUGAACCUUGAACCAAAGAGAGAGCGUGGAUUGGACCUAUGCUGCCUGCACAUGUGAAGAAGUGCAGCUUGGUAUUAAUGAACAAAAAUGGAGAAGAGACUGAAGGGAAGGCCAUUUAGUGACCAGUCCAUCUUGGGAUCCAUCUCAUGGGCUGGCACCAAACCCUGACACUAUUACUGAUGGCUGUCCUCUGGGAAGUUCUACAAGCACUGGAUUGAGAAAGAUGCAGAUACAUUGAACCACUGGACUGAAUUCCUCUAUGGAAGAAUUAGGAGAAAGAUUAAAGGAGCAGAGCUUAAGGGGAUGGAAACCCCACAGGAAGACCAAGAGUGACAACUAACAUGGAUUCCUGGGAGUUCUCAGAGACUAAGCCACCAACCGAAGAGCAUACCAGGACUUGUCUGAGGCUCCUGACACAUAUGUAGUAGAGGACUGCCUUGUCUGGCCUCAGGCUGAAAGGAUGUGUCUAAUCCUAUAGAGAUUUGAUGCCCCAUGGAAAGAGGAUGGCAGAGGUUCAGAGGAACAUGGUCUCAAAGGUGAAAUGGGGAUGGUUAAAGAGCUCUGGCAGGAGAUGAUCAUAAUGGAGGAGGCAAUAUUUGAGAUAUAAAUAAAUAAAAUAAUUAACCUAAAAAAAUAGUAAGAUUCUCUUUUCCAGAAACAGUUACUUAAAUGAUUCCGUCAGGCACACUGGAUAAUAUAGAUAAGCAGGCUUAGAGAGUGCCACAGUUCUGUCUCCCUAAAUUUUCCCUUCUGCAAAGUUGAUGUGCAAUAUACUACAGUAUCUGGAUUUAUUACACAUGGAUGCCUGCUAAAAAUCUGGGACCAGUGUAUGACAAACAAAGUAAUAACUCUAAUGUGUUUAGUAUUCAGUUGUCACAACACAGUUAUUAAAACCAAUACUUAGUGUUUUUAUUCCCUCUAGAAAGAGAUGAUGGUCUCUCAUUGGCUUAGGGCUCAUCAUUUAAGUUUGUCUGGUUGGCUAUUGAGCCUGAAGUACCAUUCUGCCUCUACUUACCCAUUGCAGAGACUGCAAGAAAUUGCCAGGAUUCCUGACGUGUGUGUGUGUGUGUGUGUGUGUGUGUGUGUGUGUGUGUGUGUGUGCGCGCGCACGUGCGUUUGGGGUGUAGGGAGACUUCUGGGAAUGGAACACUUAGUCAUGCUUGAAGGGAAGCAUCUCACUGGUUGAGCCUUUCCUCAAGCCUCGAGCUCUCAUUCUUUAUUUGUAGAAUGUUUGUUUGGUAAGUUGUUUUGCUUGUGGGCUGUGUCUGAUAUGAUCAUCAUGAGUUUUAUAUGUUCAGGCUUUGUAUUUAGAAAAGCCAGAAUAAAUCCAUGACAGUAGCUUAAACUUAUACUUGAAAGAUGUGUUUGAUGUGGACUCAUGAAUGACAUUCCUGGAAAUAUCUUUGUUAGAACUGGAGAAAAAACACAUAAGAAGGUAAAAUUUUCAAAGUAGUUCAAACACUGUAGAUAGGUUGUCUUUUGUUAUCUAGCUGCCUGAGGUAAUUUAUAAUGUAUGCAUGCUUAGUAAUAAAAUUUGAAAAAAAAUUCAGUUCAAUUUUUUUUUUCUGAUGCAACAGCAAGAGAUUUUUUUUUUCUGGCAUGUUGGGGUCGACCUUCUGGGACAAUCUAAAUCAGUUCAAUUUUUACAUUAAUUUUUUAUGCAUGGCAUUGUUCUAUAAUAAAAGCAUUUAUAUUCAC